AGCCUCAGUUCGGAUUGGAGUCUGCAACCCGACUCCAUGAAGCUGGAUUCGCUAGUAAUCGCGCAUCAGCCACGGCGCGGUGAAUACGUUCCCGGGCCUUGUACACACCGCCCGUCAAGCCAUGGAAGCCGGGGGUGCCUGAAGUGCGCUGCCGCAAGGAGCGCCCUAGGGUAAAACCGGUGACUGGGGCUAAGUCGUAACAAGGUACC
rnacentral:rRNA from 1 species